rnacentral:rRNA from 1 species
ACGUAGGUGGCGAGCGUUGUCCGGAAUUACUGGGUGUAAAGGGAGCGCAGGCGGGGAAACAAGUCAGCUGUGAAAACUAUGGGCUUAAACCAUAAACUGCAGUUGAAACUGUUUUUCUUGAGUGGAGUAGAGGUAGGCGGAAUACCAGGUGUUGCGGUGUAAGGCGUAAAUAUCUGGAUGAACACCGGUGGCGAAGGCAGCCUUCUGGUCCGGUACUGACGCUGAGGCACGAAAGCCAUGUGAGCAAACGG